AUCUAGGUUUAAUCAUGCCCACAUUAGAGCAAGUAAUUGCAUCGAAAGAUGUUUUGGCAUCCUAAAAAUGAGAUUUCACUGUCUUUUGAAGGAGUGUACUUUGAGAUACACAAUAUGUGUGUGGAUGCAAACAUACCCAUCGAUGAAAACGUAGGUGAUCCAGACAAUGAUAACGGUGACGUCCUGAUUGUAGAACCACUCAAUAAUCAAGGACAAUUUGCUGUAGAAGGAAUGAGGUAAAAGAAUUUCUGCACAAGAACUGAUCAAUAUGGAGAUACACUUCGGGAUGCUGCAGGUGGUAGUAUAUCAAGGAUGCAGAUGAGUUACUUGGAAUGUAGUUUCCUUUUUUAUUGAUGUAAAUAUUUUAUCUCGAUCUUAGUGAGACAUAUUUUCCCAUGUAAAUGAUUGAAAUAAAAGUACAUAACUUUGUUUGGAAA